CACACUCUCUCGCUCACUGGUGCUUUUUCUCCUUUUCCUUUGUGCUCUUCCUCAUAGCUUUGUGAGACCACGGCUGUGGGGUCAUUGAGUUCUGCUGCUGGAGCAGACUGAGUGUGUGUGUGUGUGUGUGUGUGUGUGUGUGUGUGUGUGUGAUGGAGGGUGAGGGAGAAUCCCAGACAGACUGCUGCAGUUAUUUAUUCUUCUCUCUCACUCGUGUGUGUGUGUGUGUGUGUGUAAAGGCUCCGCUUAUGGAACCCGGCUGCCACGCUGGCUUACUCGGUGCUCCUUGUCCCCACCACGUCCUGUGUGUGUGUGUGUGUGUGUGUGUCGGAGAGAGUGUGAAUAUCCUCUUUUACAGUCUCUAUCGUUUGCAUGCCAGUGCUGGCAGGCUAUUGUUAUAUAUUAUAUUGGAGUUGCCCUAAAGACCUGCAUAGGCUAGCUUCCUCUUCUGCCGCGUGAUAUCGGGUGCGUUGUUGUCAACCUUUUUUAGUUUCUCAUGCCUCUGGGGAUGAUGAGCCAGCAGUUUAUUAUUUGUAUUAUUAUUUGUUUAUUUUUUUUAAUGUUUGCUUGCUUUGUGUCCUGCCGAUGAUUUAAGUGGAGAGUUCAAAUCCAUCCAGUGAUGGCCUCUGUUCCCACACACACACACACACACACACACACACACACACACACACACACACACACACACACACACACUGACUUAUCUGUUAUCUCUUCUUUUAAACAACCAUGUUUUCAGUUUUGUUUUCUGAAUUUCUGGGGAGUGCAAUAUUCAGUCCAGCUUAAAGAAGGCAGGCCUCACCCCUGGGACCGUCCUACACGCGCACACACACACACACACACUCAGACAAACACACAGGGACUUACACGUGCACACACACCAAUGAAAAUCGCACAGGAGGAGGCUUGGUUGGUUAAGGUACUUGCUCACUUAUCAUGGCUGUUCACUCCUGUUUUAAAAAGGUAAUCGUCAACCCACACACACACACACACACACACACACACAGUCUCACUGUGACCCUACUGUUCAGCCCACAGUCACUGAAGGAAGGUUGCUGCAGCCAUGCCGUGUGUAAGGGGUGAUCAGUUCAAGAUUUAUUUUGUAUAAUUUCCUCCGAACCUUUACCCCCUUACUUUGUCUUGGUUUUAAAAUAAAUGAAUAUAAACUGUU